GCCUAUUUCUGUUAAUGGUUCUUUGGAUAAAUAACAGUUGACUUUGUUCCUCUGCUUGGUAUUUUAAAAAACCUAUUAGUUUACAAAUCUCUUACUAAUUUUAGUUUUAAUAUUUGUAUUGUUAAGUAUUUUAAACACACAGAAAGGCAAAUAAACCCCCAUUACCCAAACACCCAGCUUUAUUAAAUCUUAGUAUUUUGUCCUAUUUGUUUCAAUGGUUUUUUUAAUAAAUCAGUGACUACAAUAAAAUUGAUACCUCUGAAUCCUUCCAUUUUCUUUUCACUGCCCCCAGAUAUAACCACCAAUGUGAAGUCAGUUUUAUCAUUGCUAUGCAUGUUUUUAAUAUUUUUACUAAAUGUUUAUGAAUUCUUAAACAUUAUGAAGCAUUAUGUUAUAGAGUUUUUAAGUUUUAUAAAAUAUUAUCUAAUACUGUUACUUUAAGAAAACCUGCAGUAACCCCUUCUGAAAAAGAUUAAUCACACGUAAUUUGUUACAUAUUAAAAUAACUGCUCCUAAAUAGUGAUGUGGCCUUGGGCAAGCUCUUUCAAGUUUCUGUGAGCUCCAGCUUUUCCUUAUCUGUGUGGUAAAAGAAUAUGAGACUAUGUCUGCGCUCUCUUUCAGAUUAUAAGUCUCUAUAAAUUAUUCAACUCAAAUGUCCCCAUGGGUUUACUUAAAGGAUAGUUUUGUCCACUUAUGAACAACUGUGUUUCAUCAAAAUCAGAAUUUACUGAAUGUUCAUUCAUUUUAACUUUUUUAAGUGGUUUGUCACAGAAUUCCUUUCAAUGCUGAGAUUUUCAAAUAUAUUGCAACCAUCGAGAGGACAUUCUUGAAUAUUCACUAUAAGCCUGAUGCUAUGCGAGGUGCCAGAGAUACAAGAGGGAACUUGACAGGUACAGUCUGUCUCCCACAAAGCUUAUGGCUGAGUUUUUAAAAUGUAAUUCAAGCUUUUCAGGAAUACAGUCAAUCCAUAAAGCAAUAGGGAGAAACAUUUCCAAUAUCAAGAGGCACUGAUGAAUGAAUGUGUGAAUAACUAAAUUUUGUAACUUUUUUUGUAGACAUAAAAAUAAGCAUUCACUGUGUCAUCCUUAAAUAAAAUCAUUGGCAGAGUGUAGCCUAUAAAUGUCUGGAAAUACCUCACCAAAGGCUAGAAGACAUUUUGCCAGAAGGAAGUAAUGUUUACAUUUCUAUAUUUUGUUUCUUUUUCCUCUACAUAUGCAUUUUGUCCUAUGUCUAUGUCUCCUUCUUAAUAGGCUUUGACAUGAACCCAAAGCAAAUGUUUCCUAUUAUUUUAUCUAUUUAUUGAAUAUACAUUGUUUUCUGAAUGCUAUUCCUUUCAUUUACCAGUUCUAGUAGUCUGGGUUUGCUCUUAUUUCUCUUUACUCUAAAAUGGUUUUUUUAAUCUGUAACACAGAACUUAGUGCUUGGUUAUAUAUAGGUAGGCAUUGUUUUCUAAAAACACUGGUUUACAAAAUGGAAUGUGCACACUACAGGGAAUGUGCAAAUGAUCCUUGAGGAUACAGGAAGGAAGUGUUAAAGUUUCUAUUUAUUUUGGUAACUUAUAAACUUUCUAUUUGUUACAGUGUGAGUUCUGGUGUAUAUAGUCAAGCCAUAUGCUAGUACAUGGGAUAAUGUAUAAAUAAACAUGUAAGUGUCGAUAAGUACUCAACUCUUUUUUACUGAGAGGGCUUUAGGCUUUUUUUUUUUUUAAGUUUCAAUACCACAGUUCAAAUGUGUGUGUUGGUCUUAUCUAUGUAAUUGUUUUGUGUGCUCUUUCAGGGAGUGGUGGUGUCUUGUGUCUCUUACUCUGUCCAAAGGACCUUGUAUGUAUAAAUGCGAAUAAAUAUUUAUUGAACUCCAC
rnacentral:lncRNA from 1 species